rnacentral:tRNA from 1 species
GCCCGGAUGGCGGAAUUGGCAGACGCGCUGGACUCAAAAUCCUGUUCCCGCAAGGGAGUGUGGGUUCGACCCCCACUCUGGGCACCA